rnacentral:rRNA from 1 species
CAGUCGCCGCGGGAAUACGUAGGGUGCAAGCGUUAAUCGGAAUUACUGGGCGUAAAGCGUGCGCAGGCGGUUAUAUAAGUCAGAUGUGAAAUCCCCGGGCUUAACCUGGGAACUGCAUUUGUGACUGGCGGGCUAGAGUAUGGCAGAGGGGGGUAGAAUUCCACGUGUAGCAGUGAAAUGCGUAGAGAUGUGGAGGAAUACCGAUGGCGAAGGCAGCCCCCUGGGCCAAUACUGACGCUCAUGCACGAAAGCGUGGGGAGCAAACAGGAUUAGAUACCCGCGUAGUCCCUGUCUCUUAUAC